CCUACGGGUGGCAGCAGUGAGGAAUAUUGGUCAAUGGACGAGAGUCUGAACCAGCCAUGUCGCGUGAAGGAUGACUGCCCUAUGGGUUGUAAACUUCUUUUAUAUGGGGAUAAAACGCUCCACGUGUGGGAUUUUGUAUGUACCAUACGAAUAAGGAUCGGCUAACUCCGUGCCAGCAGCCGCGGUAAUACGGAGGAUCCGAGCGUUAUCCGGAUUUAUUGGGUUUAAAGGGAGCGUAGGCGGUUUGUUAAGUCAGUUGUGAAAUGUUGGGGCUCAACCCUGAAAUUGCAUUUGAUACUGGUGGUCUAGAGAACAGUAGAGGUGGGCGGAAUGCGUGGUGUAGCGGUGAAAUGCGUAGAGAUCAGGAAGAACACCGAUUGCGAAGGCAGUUCACUGAACUACAACUGACGCUGAGGCUCGAAAGCGUGGGUAGCAAACAGGAUUAGAUACCCUUGUAGUC
rnacentral:rRNA from 1 species